AACGAACGCUGGCGGCAGGCCUAACACAUGCAAGUCGAGCGAGGACUUCGGGUCUAGCGGCGGACGGGGGAGUAACGCGUGGGAAUGUGCCCUUCUCUACGGAAUAGCCCUGGGAAACUGGGAGUAAUACCGUAUACGCUCUUUCGGGGUGAGAUCUAUCGGAGAAGGAUCAGCCCGCGUUGGAUUAGGUGGUUGGUGGGGGAAUGGCCUACCAAGCCGAGGAUCCAUAGCUGGUUGGAGAGGAUGAUCAGCAACGCUGGAACUGAGACACGGCCUAGACCCCUACGGGGGGCAGCAGUGGGGAAUCUUAGACGAGGAGGGCAACCCUAAUCUCGCCACGCCGCGUGAGUGAUGAAGGCCUUAGUGAUGUAAAUCUCUUUGAGCUGAGAAGAGAAUGACGGUACCAGCAAAAGAAGCCCCGGCUAACUCCGUG
rnacentral:rRNA from 1 species